UGGGGCGUAGCGCAGCCUGGUAGCGUACCUGCCUUGGGAGCAGGGGGUCGUGGGUUCAAAUCCCGCCGCCCCGACCA
rnacentral:tRNA from 1 species